rnacentral:pre_miRNA from 1 species
AUCACCUAGGGAUCUUGUUAAAAACGAAGAUCCUGAUUCACUAUGUCUGGGACAAGGCCCAAGUUUCUGCAUUUCUAACAAGCUCUCAGGUGAUGCCGA